AUUGAACGCUGGCGGCAUGCCUUACACAUGCAAGUCGAACGGCAGCACGGGUGCUUGCACCUGGUGGCGAGUGGCGAACGGGUGAGUAAUACAUCGGAACAUGUCCUGUAGUGGGGGAUAGCCCGGCGAAAGCCGGAUUAAUACCGCAUACGAUCUACGGAUGAAAGCGGGGGCCCUUCGGGCCUCGCGCUAUAGGGUUGGCCGAUGGCUGAUUAGCUAGUUGGUGGGGUAAAGGCCUACCAAGGCGACGACCAGUAGCUGGUCUGAGAGGACGACCAGCCACACUGGGACUGAGACACGGCCCAGACUCCUACGGGAGGCAGCAGUGGGGAAUUUUGGACAAUGGGCGAAAGCCUGAUCCAGCAAUGCCGCGUGUGUGAAGAAGGCCUUCGGGUUGUAAAGCACUUUUGUCCGGAAAGAAAUACUUGGCCCUAAUACGGUCGGGGGAUGACGGUACCGGAAGAAUAAGCACCGGCUAACUACGUG
rnacentral:rRNA from 1 species